UACGGAGGAUCCAAGCGUUAUCCGGAUUCACUGGGUUUAAAGGGUGCGUAGGUGGAAUGACAAGUCAGUGGUGAAACCCUGCAGCUUAACUGUAGAACUGCCAUUGAUACUGUUAUUCUUGAGUACAUUUGAUGUGAGUGGAAUGUGUCGUGUAGCGGUGAAAUGCUUAGAUAUGACACAGAACACCAAUUGCGAAGGCAGCUCACAAAACUGUAACUGACACUGAGGCACGAAAGCGUGGGGAUCAAACAGG
rnacentral:rRNA from 1 species